GUAUGAAUGGCAUGACGAGGGCUUAACUGUCUCCUUUCCCCAGUCAAUGAAAUUGAUCUCCCCGUGAAGAAGCGGGGAUACAACUAUAAGACGAGAAGACCCUGUGGAGCUUUAAACACUAGAGAAGCCCAUGUCAAGCACUCCAAAAUACUAAGAGUGAAACAAAAUGGACCCUCCACUAAUGUUUUUGGUUGGGGCGACCGCGGGGAAAUAAAAAACCCCCAUGUGGAGUGGGAAUACCCUUCCUACAACUCAGAGCAACCGCUCUAAUUAACGGAAUAUCCGACCAACAAUGAUCCGGCCAAGCCGAUCAACGGACCGAGUUACCCCAGGGAUAACAGCGCAAUCCCCUUUUAGAGACCUUAUCGCCAAGGGGGUUUACGACCUCGAUGUUGGAUCAGGACAUCCUAAUGGUGUAGCCGCUAUUAAGGGUUCGUUUGUUCAACGAUUAAAGUCCUA
rnacentral:rRNA from 1 species